AAAUCAAAUAGCAUGAAAAACUUUUCCCAUUUCAUUUCUUCGAAAACAUCUUAUCGAUGAAAAACGUGAAGUUUUAUCUCUCAGUGAUAAAGAAAUAUCUCGUGCUGUCAGCGAAGCGAAGUGUUAAAUUAGUGUUCAACGAUUGCGAUCUUCAAUUUUUUUCUGUUGAUUUUUAUCGACGCUUUCGUUGCCGAGAAAGAGCCAUUAAAAUACAACACUCGUCUGCACCGCCAACUGUGACACAUUUCGGUAUUCCAAUUCCGGCUUCGGCCAGAAAUUUUUAUUAGCUGUAAUACUCGAACUUGGAUUGUCUUGGGGCUAUUGCGCUCUACUUGUGUAUCGUCGAGGUUGGGCGUACCGUUUUAAUCGGCCAUACAAGACCAUUCUAAACCCGAAAAGGCGCACACAUCACAUUCUAAAUGACAGUUGCCGUCUUGAUCUCAUGAGGAUUGUUGUAAAGGUGUUUGAUGUCUAGUCAAAGAGCUUACUCACUGCACGGCCACAGAUACAGUUCUACCGUGCUACCCUUCAAUCAUCAGCCUUUGACAAGGGAAAGAAUGGCUGGUGGAGAUAUCUGGGUCCAGUGGUUUACAUGUUGUGUUACUCAGCAACCUCCACCACGAAGACGAAGACCACCGAUUGAUCGUUCCAUGAUCGGUUUGCCGCAAAAUUUUCAACAUACUGCUCACAUAGGCUCAAGCGAUGUGGCCAUGGGUACGAGGCAUCUGGUAGCCUUGCAAAACCACAUGCAAAGUAAAGGAGGAU
rnacentral:lncRNA from 1 species